UAAUAAGUGUUUUAUGGCACUUUUUAAAUCCAUAUCCACCUGUGUGCAAUGUCGGUCGAUCUUCCUUUCUUGAGGAUCGACCAAACAUCAACCUUUAUCUUUUAACUCUUUGUCUGAAAAAUAUUAUGAAUAAACAAUUCAAAAUA
rnacentral:misc_RNA from 1 species